AGUGAACGCUGGCGGUAGGCCUAACACAUGCAAGUCGAACGGCAGCACAGUAAGAGCUUGCUCUUACGGGUGGCGAGUGGCGGACGGGUGAGGAAUACAUCGGAAUCUACUUUUUCGUGGGGGAUAACGUAGGGAAACUUACGCUAAUACCGCAUACGACCUACGGGUGAAAGCAGGGGAUCUUCGGACCUUGCGCGAUUGAAUGAGCCGAUGUCGGAUUAGCUAGUUGGCGGGGUAAAGGCCCACCAAGGCGACGAUCCGUAGCUGGUCUGAGAGGAUGAUCAGCCACACUGGAACUGAGACACGGUCCAGACUCCUACGGGAGGCAGCAGUGGGGAAUAUUGGACAAUGGGCGCAAGCCUGAUCCAGCCAUACCGCGUGAGUGAAGAAGGCCUUCGGGUUGUAAAGCCCUUUUGUUGGGAAAGAAAAGCAGCAGGUUAAUACCCUGCUGUUCUGACGGUACCCAAAGAAUAAGCACCGGCUAACUUCGUG
rnacentral:rRNA from 1 species